rnacentral:rRNA from 1 species
GACGAACCGUACGAACGUUAUUCGGAAUCACUGGGCUUAAAGGGUGCGUAGGCUGUGCGGAAAGUUGGGUGUGAAAUCCCUCGGCUUAACCGAGGAACUGCGCCCAAAACUACCGUGCUCGAGGGAGACAGAGGUGAGCGGAACUUAGGGUGGAGCGGUGAAAUGCGUUGAUAUCCUAAGGAACACCGGUGGCGAAAGCGGCUCACUGGGUCUCUUCUGACGCUGAGGCACGAAAGCUAGGGGAGCGAACGGG